AAGACUGCCAUGAUGCUAUAAAGAUGAUCUCUCAACUUGUUCAGGGAGAAAUUAUUGUGCGUGACCGUACUCGGUUCCAUCAUUUCAGAAAAGGCACAUGCUCUUGUAAUGACUUUUGGUAGUGAAACAGAGUGACAAGAGAUCUCUGGUUCAUUUGGUUGGAUUAUUUUGGCAGCCAAAAGUCAGACGGAGGUGUUGUUUGGCACAGGGUUCCCCAAAGCUUGACAUGAAUAGAAUUCAAAGUUGAAGAUAAAACUAUGAAUCAGUGGCGGCCCCUAUUGGAUCUUGGUUACUUGUUCGAUGUGUUCCCAUUGAUGACCUCAAUUCCAACUGGAAAGGUGUUUUUGAGAGCUAA